CGAGGGGCAGCAUGAUUGAAGCUUGCUUCAAUUGAUGGCGACCGGCGCACGGGUGAGUAACACGUAUCCAACCUGCCGAUAACUCGGGGAUAGCCUUUCGAAAGAAAGAUUAAUACCCGAUAGUAUAGUAUUUCCGCAUGGUUUCACUAUUAAAGAAUUUCGGUUAUCGAUGGGGAUGCGUUCCAUUAGAUAGUUGGCGGGGUAACGGCCCACCAAGUCAACGAUGGAUAGGGGUUCUGAGAGGAAGGUCCCCCACAUUGGAACUGAGACACGGUCCAAACUCCUACGGGAGGCAGCAGUGAGGAAUAUUGGUCAAUGGACGAGAGUCUGAACCAGCCAAGUAGCGUGAAGGAUGACUGCCCUAUGGGUUGUAAACUUCUUUUAUACGGGAAUAAAGUGGAGUAUGCAUACUCCUUUGUAUGUACCGUAUGAAUAAGGAUCGGCUAACUCCGUGCCAGCAGCCGCGGUAAUACGGAGGAUCCGAGCGUUAUCCGGAUUUAUUGGGUUUAAAGGGAGCGUAGGCGGGUGCUUAAGUCAGUUGUGAAAGUUUGCGGCUCAACCGUAAAAUUGCAGUUGAUACUGGGCGCCUUGAGUGCAGCAUAGGUAGGCGGAAUUCGUGGUGUAGCGGUGAAAUGCUUAGAUAUCACGAAGAACUCCGAUUGCGAAGGCAGCUUACUGGACUGUAACUGA
rnacentral:rRNA from 1 species